AACGAACGCUGGCGGCGCGUCUUAAACAUGCAAGUCGAACGGCAGGAAGGGGCUUGCCCCUUCUGAGAGUGGCGGACUGGUGAGUAACACGUGGGUGACAUACCUUUUAGUUGAGGAUAGCUAUUAGAAAUAGUAGGUAAUACCGAAUGUGACCGUACCUGUUAGAGGGGUACGAGGAAAGGAGCUAAGGCUUCGCUAAAAGAAUGGCUCGCGGCCCAUUAUGCUCGUUGGUGAGGUAACGGCCCACCAAGGCGAUGAUGGGUAUCCGGCCUGAGAGGGUGAACGGACACAUUGGGACUGAGAUACGGCCCAGACUUCUACGGGAGGCAGCAGUUAAGAAUAUUCCGCAAUGGACGAAAGUCUGACGGAGCGACGCCGCGUGGAUGAAGAAUGCCGAAAGGUUGUAAAAUCCUUUUAAGCCUGAUGAAUAAGCACAGUAGGGAAUGAUUGUGCGGUGACCGUAGGGCUUGAAUAAGCACCGGCUAAUUACGUG
rnacentral:rRNA from 1 species